ACAACCACCAUAGGAUCACUCUAAGGCAAAGAAACUUAUAUGAGAAGAUUUUGAAAACAGUAAAAAACCUGGAGCAAUUUAACACAAUUUAAUAUAUCAAAAGUUCUGUUAAUGUCCUAGCAUUCAAGUUUAUCUUUAUUUCAUCUCUAUUUUAUCUAUAAAAUUUAUAGCCUAGAAAAGCUCCAAAGGAUGUUCAAGACACGUACAAUAGAAGCAUACAAAAAUAAAAACCUCCAUGUCAGGAGUAUGGUUGUGUUCUUAUAAUGACUUAGCUAAUGUUAUGACUAAGUAGUUAGUG
rnacentral:misc_RNA from 1 species